AACACCUGGAGGCACUGGAAGCUGGAAAAGGUUUCCUGAGGUGUGACAGACAUCCUGAAGAGGCACUCAGCACCCAUUCUCAACUCCUUCUGGAGUGUCUUCCUCUACUGCAGAGGCGGGAACUCUGAGAGCCAUUUUUCCAGUCUCACUUGCAGCUGGGGUUCUAACUGUGAAUUAGGUUCAACCAAUUAUAUGCAUUUGCAAGAGAUUUGGAAGUCAGAAUGGAGGCAGAAGCCACUUCCUACUGAUUGGCUGUAAACACUGGCAAGCAUGAUUGUGGUAACACCGGGGCUUUCUGAAGCCAUGUCUCAAAGUUCAGCCACUGAUUGCAUGGGUGUCGAGAGACAUUAAAGUGGUGGUGACAGAACUUUCUAAUGAACAGAUUUCAGCUAAAACAAUGUGUCUUCGGAGUCACUAUUCCCAGUGACAGGCUCCUGAUUUCCUCCCUUUACGGUGGUGGCAGAUGUGGAAGCACCCGCAAGCCGGCUCCUCCAGCCUUCCCAACGACGUUGUAAACACCUGCUUCUCUCUAGACAAUGACUUUCUGCUUAAAAUAGCUGGCGUGGUUUUUGCUUCCUGCAACUAAGCCCCAUUGAUAUAUGCUGUUUUCCUUCUUUCCCUCUAACUGCUGGUUUUCACAACAGCCAACCCCGCAAUCGAUCCUUUAAGCUCUAAAAUGAAAGCCUUGAAUAUCUUCAUCACUCCAUAUCCUGCUUUGUUUUUCUCCAUAGCAGUGAUUGUCACCCAAAGAUUAUUUUUAUUAUUUGUUGAUUGUCCACCUUACUAGGAUUUAAGCUCCAUUAGAACAGAUACUUUGUUUUGUUCACUUCUGUGACAACUCUCUGACAUUUAGAAGAGUACUAGAAAAUAGCAGGAAUUCAGUACAUAGGGUUGAAUGAACGAAAUCUACCUUUCUUAACCAAACACCACAUUAAAUUCAUGCAUUAAUAGGGUCAUCGACAAGAUAUCCUCAAUAACACCUCCUCAUGAAACAUUUACCUGGGUUUUAAAAAUCCUCCAAAAACACAAAAUAUCAUUUGUGCUAUGUAACUCAGCAUUACAUUUAGGUGACAUCCCCUCCCAGUUUGCCUGAGACGUUCCUGGUUUUAGCACUAAAAGCCCCAUGUUCAUGAGAAUCCCCUCAGUUCUGGGCAAAAAGAUGAUUGGUUAUCCUAAUUAAAUAUCUUAGUUGCUGAGAAAGGCACUGUAAUUACAUUACUUUAGAUCAAUUUUGCAAAUAAAAGUUUGAAGACACAAAUCCACCUGUGGUCUCCUUCCCAUAUCAGCUGUGUUGCACAGGAUCCCCGGAACCAUCAGGUAAAAUCCAAGCAAUGGCUUUGGGUUGUAUUUUAUGUUUUUUACUAAAAUUUCUAUUGCUUGUACCCUGAAUAUUUCAGAGCUGAGCCUGUGAAAUCUUUUCUGCAUCUCAGUUACAUUCGAAACAUGAGCUUCCCAGAGAAAAGAUACUGCAGCAUAAACAUGUGCUCUUGAGUCACAGCACCGGGGAAGUCCCCUUGGGAUCCAGCAGAGUGAACUCUGCAGAAAAUAUGGAUCAAUGUUAAUUCUGGGGAUGAAUAAAGGCUUAGUCAUCACCUUCCCCCGAUUAAGGAACGCACUCCCAUCUCGCUGCUAACAUUAUCCUGAAACUUCAGGCAGUGAGUUCCGGUGCAAUGUGUGGAUUCGAAAUGUCAACGCUUCUGAACUGGCAUAUUAGAGAAAAUUUGGAGAAUAAGAGUAUUCUCAGACACACAACCCAAGCUGCCAGAACAUCUUGGAUAUCCUCUCCCUGAUGAUUCAUGUGGAGAGAUGUUUGGGUGUUUAGAUUUUAAAAUAUGCUUCCCAACCAAAAGUGAAACUUAAAGAUGCUAUCACUCUGGAGUUUUUUUGCACCUGCAAAACAAAAAUUUGUGUUUUUAAAAUUAACUGUUUUCGCGACACAGUCUGUUGCAUGUGAUAUUGGUGUUUCUCCAGCCAAGCAUGUAAGGG
rnacentral:lncRNA from 10 species